AUACAUGCAAGUCGAACGCUUUGUCUUUAAUUGAUAUGAAGAGCUUGCUCUGAUUUGAUUUUAUCUGACAAAGAGUGGCGAACGGGUGAGUAACACGUGGGUAACCUACCUCUUAGCAGGGGAUAACAUUUGGAAACAAGUGCUAAUACCGUAUAACACUAACAACCGCAUGGUUGUUAGUUGAAAGAUGGUUCUGCUAUCACUAAGAGAUGGACCCGCGGUGCAUUAGCUAGUUGGUAAGGUAAUGGCUUACCAAGGCGAUGAUGCGUAGCCGAGUUGAGAGACUGAUCGGCCACAAUGGGACUGAGACACGGCCCAUACUCCUACGGGAGGCAGCAGUAGGGAAUCUUCCACAAUGGGCGCAAGCCUGAUGGAGCAACGCCGCGUGUGUGAUGAAGGGUUUCGGCUCGUAAAACACUGUUAUAAGAGAAGAACGACAUUGAGAGUAACUGUUCAGUGUGUGACGGUAUCUUAUCAGAAAGGAACGGCUAAAUACGUGCCAGCAGCCGCGGUAAUACGUAUGUUCCAAGCGUUAUCCGGAUUUAUUGGGCGUAAAGCGAGCGCAGACGGUUAUUUAAGUCUGAAGUGAAAGCCCUCAGCUCAACUGAGGAAGGGCUUUGGAAACUGGAUAACUUGAGUGCAGUAGAGGAAAGUGGAACUCCAUGUGUAGCGGUGAAAUGCGUAGAUAUAUGGAAGAACACCGGUGGCGAAAGCGGCUUUCUGGACUGUAACUGACGUUGAGGCUCGAAAGUGUGG
rnacentral:rRNA from 1 species